rnacentral:rRNA from 1 species
CCUAGGGGUGGCAGCAGUGAGGAAUAUUGGUCAAUGGACGAGAGUCUGAACCAGCCAAGUAGCGUGAAGGCUGACUGCCCUAUGGGUUGUAAACUUCUUUUAUAUGGGAAUAAAACGUACCACGUGUGGGAUUUUGUAUGUACCAUAUGAAUAAGGAUCGGCUAACUCCGUGCCAGCAGCCGCGGUAAUACGGAGGAUCCGAGCGUUAUCCGGAUUUAUUGGGUUUAAAGGGUGCGCAGGCGGAAUGUCAAGUCAGCGGUAAAAUUUCGGGGCUCAACCCCGUCGUGCCGUUGAAACUGGCGUUCUUGAGUGAGCGAGAAGUAUGCGGAAUGCGUGGUGUAGCGGUGAAAUGCAUAGAUAUCACGCAGAACUCCGAUUGCGAAGGCAGCAUACCGGCGCUCAACUGACGCUCAUGCACGAAAGCGUGGGUAUCGAACAGGAUUAGAUACCCCAGUAGUC